rnacentral:tRNA from 1 species
UGCGCGGUCGCGCAGCGGAUGGUGUAGCCAGUGGCGCAGCAGGCGGCUGCCCAUGCUGGUGGCGCAGGUGUCGAGCAGCGAGAACAGCGUCGGCGAUUCCUGUCCGCGCAG